CUUGUAGGCGGUUUGUCGCGUCUGCUGUGAAAAUCCGGGGCUCAACCCCGGACUUGCAGUGGGUACGGGCAGACUAGAGUGUGGGUAGGGGAGACUGGAAUUCCUGGUGUAGCGGUGGAAUGCGCAGAUAUCAGGAGGAACACCGAUGGCGAAGGCAGGUCUCUGGGCCACUACUGACGCUGAGAAGCGAAAGCAUGGGGGAGCGAACA
rnacentral:rRNA from 1 species